UAUCUUGCAAAACCUCGAGUUUCUCUCUGUCUCCACCCUCUUUCAGCCACACACGCUGUUUCAUUUCCUCAUUCAUUUAGUCAGUAAGCGAGCGAGUUUUGGCGUAGAACAGCUUUUAUUAACGAUCCAGUGGAUGAAGGAGCAGCAUUACUGCACAGAUAAUUAAAUAUUCGUCGGUAGAUUGUUAUCAGACCGCGCAUAAAUGUUCUCGCAUUUCCGGACAAUUAUCGGUUUGAGCGGUACCGUUUCGUAAUCAUUUCAAGUCCAUAAUCUACAUAAACAACCUAAUCCGUCCUUACAUUUACAUUACCAGCCGCAGUCAUGCUCUCACAUCCAGCAGAUAUUGUGUGUUGCGUUGCGGUUCUUUGCAAAUGAAAUUUUUUAUAUGAUGUCAGAGAUGCAGAGUGCUACAGUAAGACAACUGUAUGCAGGACAGACAGAAAAGCUUUCCUGGCUCUGAAACGACUUUUAUCAUCAUUUUAUCAUCAUUGUGGACAUAAACCUGUCAGAACAUCAAGGAGGAGUUCCACAGGAUUGCAGGAUUUCCCAGUGUGAUUGGCUGCAUAGAUGCACACACAUCUCCAUCACAGCUCCCUCACAUCAUGAACAGGAAGUCCAUUCACAGCAUAAAUGUGCAGAUCAUAUGUGAUGCUGCAUACAUCAUUUCUAAUGUGGAGGCCAAGUGACCUGGGUCUGUUCAUGACUCCAGGAUUUAUGGAGAGUCUAACCUGAGCAACAGACUGCAACGUGGAGAGUUUGAUGGCCUUCUGCUGGAUGACAGGGGUUACCAUGACAAUCCAGGCUGAUGACCUCAUACCCUGACCCUGAACCAGGCCCCCAACAGAACUUCAACCGGGCUCACUGCAGGACCAGAGCCCGGGUGGAGAUCACCAUAGGUCUGCUGAAAGCCCGUUUCCAGAGCCUACAUCACCUCAGGGUGACCCCUGAGAGGGCCUGUGAUAUUACUGUAGCAUGUGUUGUUCUUCAUAAUAUUACCACUAUUAGAGGAGAGCAACACCCUGCCCUAAAAAUUGAAGACCCAGAUGAUGACCCCAUCCACCUGCAGCUAUCCAGGACAGCAGAGCAGUCAGAGACACCGUAUGCAAUAAUCACUUUAGAGUUUAAGUCACCAUCAUCACCACCACAGCAAAUAAAGACAUGAUACACAUUUCAUUUGGUCUUCUUUAUUUCCUACAAAUAAAAGAGAUAGUUCAGUUCAUGUUCCAGUAGUUAACAUAAUUCACCUGUGACCAUCACCACCUCUAACUUGUGCUCCAGUAUUUCAAUUUCCAGAUCUGCCCUCCUAAUCUGUUUUUUUGGAUUUUUCUCAGCAAAUGCAGUUUGUAAAUCUGUUUUACUGAUAACUGGGAAUACAUAGAGGACAUUAAAUUAUACAGUUGCACAUGAAUUCCACGGAAUGAACCUCUGGUGUUUCCUGAACAUCCAUCUCACUGCAGUGGAAGUUGAGGGACCAUCCUGCUGCUGUCCAGCCAUGCUCUG